rnacentral:rRNA from 1 species
CGUAGGGUGCGAGCGUUGCCCGGAUUUAUUGGGCGUAAAGGGCGCGUAGGCGGCUCGGCACGUCCGUUGUGAAAUCGCCCGGCUCAACUGGGCGGGGUCAGCGGAUACGGUCGAGCUUGAGCAAGCUAGGGGGUAAUGGAAUUCCCGGUGUAGUGGUGGAAUGCGUAGAUAUCGGGAGGAACACCAGUGGCGAAGGCGGUUACCUGGGGCUUUGCUGACGCUGAUGCGCGAAAGCGUGGGGAGCGAUCCGGAUUAGAUACCCGGGUAGUCCACGCCGUAAACGAUGCGGACUAGGUGUCGGGGGUAUCGACCCCCUCGGCGCCGCAGCUAACGCAUUAAGUCCGCCGCCUGGGGACUACGGCCGCAAGGCUA